CAGCACCUCAAGUGGUCAGGAUGAUUAUUGGGCCUAAAGCAUCCGUAGCCGGCUCUGUAAGUUUUCGGUUAAAUCUGUAUGCUCAACAUACAGGCUGCCGGUAAUACUGUAGAGCUAGGGAGUGGGAGAGGUAGACGGUACUCGGUAGGAAGGGGUAAAAUCCUUUGAUCUAUUGAUGACCACCUGUGGCGAAGGCGGUCUACCAGAACACGUCCGACGGUGAGGGAUGAAAGCUGGGGGAGCAAACCGGAUUAGAGACCCGAGUAGUCC
rnacentral:rRNA from 1 species